GGAGAGAGAAAGCUGGACCCAGAAUGCGUGUGUGCCUUGGACCCGAACAUCUCACUGCAUGGCUGAAUGAAACAUCUGUGGGUACCAUGCAAAGGCCCUUUUUGCUUCUUUACUCUGGAUUUUACUAGCAGCAAAAUUCAGGCCACUACAAAUGAAAUUUGUCAGAGUAAGUUCUGCAGUAAAUCAAGAAUAUGUAGCCAGAAGUAUUGAAAGAAUUAGUGGCCAAAACUUUCUACAUGGAAAAGUUAAGCCUGAAAAGGAGCUUCACUACUGACUCUUGUUUGAAAAUAUCUUCUUUAGUGGUGGCUGCUUAAAUACUUGGCAGCUAUGGCCCUACAGAAGUCAUCACAAUCCUAUUGAAAUACGAAAUUUCUGGAAAUUAUCUGAAAAUAUACACAGCCUCAACCAUUCAGUCCUUCCUUCAGUGUGGAAAAUUUUGCUGUUUGUGAGGUCAGCCUACUUCCUGGCAGGCUGGCAGCACUCCAGAAGAAGUAGACGAUGAAGGGGACAAAAACCCAUGAAAGAGGAUGGUUUCAUCAAUCCUCAACUCCCAUCAGAAAGACCAGCAGCACUUACUCCUGUGCCCCAAACUGUGCUUCCUUUUUGCUUGUUUGGGUCCUUAGGGGUUUCUGCUGCAAUUAUGGAGGAAAGAAAGGUGCUCCUGAUGACAGAACUAGGGCAGUCCUGUGGAGCUGUAGGGGAAGAUGGGCAUCCGUUCCAUAGGUUGUGAUCUGCAAGGAGCAGGAACAAAGAAUACUCUCAGAGACUGAGAAUAUAGGUGUUUUUGGCAGCUAGUGAGUGCAGUGAGUAGCAGACAGGAAAGAAGUGGAUCUUUUUUAAACAGGCAUAUUACUGUUGGGGUGCAGGGAGGAGGAUAAGAAAUCAUCAGGAAGGGUAAAGAGCAUACAGGGAAAAAAAAACAGGCAAAGGGAAAGAGAGGCAUGCUGUCUGGCCUGGCUUGACUUCUCACAGAGGGCAAACAGCAGUGAAGACCCCAAAGAUGAGGAGAAGGAGAAGCUGGAGGGACUGGCCCUGCCCAUAGUGCCUACAGGCUUGGCAUUGAUUCCCUCUAAUAUUGUACCCCCCUCCCCAUCCAACAUGAGGGCACCAAACUGCCAGAACAGACAGAACCUACCCAGUGAAACUAUCUUUUAUGCUGGAGGGACAAUCCAGGUGAGGAGUGUUUUCUUCUCAGUAUGGCUGCUAUGCUAGACUUAAACUUUCCUUGCCAAAGAGCAGACACCUGUCAUUUCUUGAGAAAAAAUCCAGUCUCUGUUGUCUCUGGAGAUCAUAGACACAAACAGUGCAGCAGCUUGCUGGGGUGCUUGCUGUUCCAGGGAUAAAACAGAGUGGUGGAGGCCUAUUGAUGCCCAGGAGAAACAAUUGAAGCCAACUGCUGCAGUAAGGAAGAGCCCAUUUGCUAUGCCUGCUACAGCCAGGUAUGGCAGAGGAAAGGGGUAGGAGGCUACGCUUGGGCUGGGCUGCUGAAUCAUUACUGCCUACGCUCCAGCCCCAAUGUGUCUUGGUGUGCUGCCCCUGCUGCCUUUUAGCAGUUAGGAGUUGGGGAGAGAAAUAAGGAAAGGAAAACAAUGAAUGAUAUUUAAUGAAAUCUGAUUUUCUGUCCAAAUUUUACACUGCUGUGAACUUUUGGUGCUUGGAGUGAGUUGUCAGAAAUCUUCUAACCCAUAACUCUGGCUGGAGCACAGCUCAGUGACACUCUGAAAGGGCCUGUGCAAGUGGCUGGUAGGGCUGUGGGUUGCCUGCCCUUGCCUCCACAAUGGGCUUUGGGUAUGAUGCUGGAUCAAUCCUCAGUUUCUGUCUCUCUAAGUGGAGCCCUUAGAUCUAUCCAAGCAAUUCCAUACAUUUCAUUUUGGUAUGUUAGUGCUGCCAAUUGUGUGGAAUACAUCUCUUCUGGAGAAUGACAUCAAGUCCAGGGCAGAGUGUAUGGCAGAACACGCUUUUCAGCCAGGGAUUGCCAAGCUGCCAUGCAACUUUAAACAAACCUCAGUGACAUCUGCAGAUCUAGGCUUUUCCCCCAAACAUUUAAAUCAUUAGACUUCAAGUCUUGCUCAGCAUUUGCUAAUUAGAUCUGUUUUUAAUGCAGAGCAAUGACAGAAGUGUUUGGGCACUGCUGUUCUUUGGUUGUUUAGCCACAAUAGUUAGGUAUUUAAAGGGCGGACAGCUUUAUGAAUUAUGCACACCACCAAACACUCCUGAGAUGCUUUCACAAACUUAAAAUGAGUUGUAGAAUACUAACAAUCAUGAAAACAAGGGAAAAUUAAAGAUUUGGGUGUUUGGUCCUUUUAACAGGUAUUACUGUGUAGGAUUCUCAAAGGCCUAAGGAGAGUUCCUGUUGUUUCAGUGGAGGAAGGUGAAACAAAAGUCGCACACACCAUAGUACAUGUCCAAAGAUAGGGAUAUAAUUAUGAAAAUGGAGUUUAGUCCAGUCUAUUAGGUGACCAGCUGAAGGUAUUAAGUAUGCAGAUAAUACCCUAUCAUCAUGGAAGUUCACUAGUAGGUGAUGGUUUCCUUUCAGAUGCCUUUGGAGAUCUCAUCCAUCAGAGAUCUAAGGACUCAGCUAAAAGCUCAACUUUCAGUAAUACCAUCCCUUCCAUAAAAUUAAAGGCAAACUAAAUGAGAGGGAAAUGAUUUUUUUAGGUGAGAGAAUGGCUUAUAUCAGGCAUAGCUGAAGAAAAUAUGGUAAAAAAUUUCAGGCACAUCAGCAUUUCUCCUAAUGUCUUCAAUGUGCUGUGAUUGACAGUCUAUAUAGUUGGGAGUGAAACUACAAAACCACAAUACUGUAGCUGUUCUGUAAAACAUAUUGGUAUAUAAGAGCACUGAGUCUGUGGAUGGGAGUCCUACAGUCUACUCUUCAGAAGCAUGCAUAGAAAUGUGUGAAGGAAGUGAAGGUCUGUAGAAGUGUGUGAGGAAAUUGCAGCAAGCGUUUCAUCCUCCUAGCCUGGAACUAGUAUCUAGGAAAACAAGCAGUAAGACUGAUAGGCCAGAGAAGAUUACUUCUCAACUGUACCUUUAUUGGUCCAUAUAUAGUAUUUUAGGGAGAAAUGAGUAGACAUCAAAAUUAUUUUACUGAGUAUUUACAUACUCAUACUUGGAUUUUACUCAAGAGUUUAUUAAUAGGUAUAUUUAUUGAAACUGUGAACUUGAAUGUUAAGAGGAAAAAUGAAACCUUUAAAUGCAAUAAUUUACUGUCAUACUACUUCUGAGAACCAUUGUGCUAGGGUGACAUGAAGCAAGUAACUUGUGUUCUAGUUGAAUCUGCCCAAACUGACAUAUUUGGUAGCAGUUCAAAAUUGCCCAUGUUGCCCAGUAAUCCCCAUGCUGGGUUGGGAAUAAAAAUGGUAGCAAAAUUCCUCUGGUUUUGCAGUAGCUGACAACAGAAAAAAAACCCCAAAACCAGGUAUAUAAUGAUUUUUUAAAAACAUAGCAUUAAUGAAAAAAAAAGGGGGCCAGGGUAAACCCCUGUGUAUCAGUUUUUCCUAAUACAUUAAGAAGAACUGCAGAAAUAAAGAAGUCUCUCAGAAGUCAGAAGACAUCUAAGCUUUCUAAAUAAAUUAAGAUCUGUGAAGUACUCGCUCAGCAUUAUUCAAUCUUGUACUAUGUAAGAAGCAGGAGAAUACCUAGAUCUUCUAUCAGUUUACUUCUUUGACAGAGUCAUUCAGAGAGUAAAGUCUUUCUUUUGCUGGAAGAAUACAGGGAGAAAUGAAAUGAGACCUCUGGUCAGUACAUCAUGUUUUCCAUCUGAUUAGUUUCCAACACAUGGGGAAAACAGCAGAUUGCAUCCUGCAUUUAUUGAAGAACAUACACAUGUGUUUAAAUUACAGCUUCCUUUCUUAUUAUGCAAUUGUGAAUUAUCUUUUUGCAUUCAUAAUUAGAGGGCAGACCUGAUGCAGAAGCUUAGGGUAUAGUGGAAUAUCCAUUAAAGUCACCUAGACUUCUGAAAAAUUAUUCAUUAUAAUGGGGGAAUAUGCCCAUAGGAAUAGUGGUUUUGCUCCAAUUCAUUUGUAGGGACACAAGUCUUCAGCCAAUGUUGCUCAGAUUAAGAAAGUUCUUGAAACAAAAUGGUACUGUGCUGGUGCUGAGGAAAACAAAUCCUUUCUUAUGAAAGAAACAGAUACAUUGUUACAAAUUGAAACUGUCAGUUUGAUGCUUUGUACCCCAAUAAGGUAUGGUAGUGUUGGCAUCACUUAUUUUCCACAGCAUGACUUCUACUGCAAUGGCACAUAGGCUGCAAAAUAUUUUAAAAUAUUAACUAUUAGGCUUUUCAUUUUGAGUGAGACUAAACAAGGACUCAGAUUUUGAUCAAAGACAACCUGUUAGUCUGUAGUUGUGCUUGAUUGACAUUGGCUCUGACAGCCAACAUAAUAACAGACAGACCAUUCUUUAGCAUUUUUACCCUUGUGACCUAAUUCGCCAUCAAAAAAAUGCAAAUAGGUUCCUCAGCAACCUUUUUAACCAUUCAUUUCUCAAUGAUAUUUGAUUUUGCUUUUGCAAUGUCAGUGUACUUGUAUUACAAUUUUAAAGAUAUUUA